GACGAACGCUGGCGGCGUGCUUAACACAUGCAAGUCGAACGGAAAGGCCCUGCUUUUGUGGGGUGCUCGAGUGGCGAACGGGUGAGUAACACGUGAGUAACCUGCCCUUGACUUUGGGAUAACUUCAGGAAACUGGGGCUAAUACCGGAUAGGAGCUCCUGCUGCAUGGUGGGGGUUGGAAAGUUUCGGCGGUUGGGGAUGGACUCGCGGCUUAUCAGCUUGUUGGUGGGGUAGUGGCUUACCAAGGCUUUGACGGGUAGCCGGCCUGAGAGGGUGACCGGCGACAUUGGGACUGAGAUACGGCCCAGAGUCCUACGGGAGGCAGCAGUGGGGAAUAUUGCACAAUGGGCGGAAGCCUGAUGCAGCAACGCCGCGUGCGGGAUGACGGCCUUCGGGUUGUAAACCGCUUUCGCCUGGGACGAAGCGUGAGUGACGGUAAUGGGUAAAGAAGCACCGGCUAACUACGUG
rnacentral:rRNA from 1 species